UACGAAGGGGGCUAGCGUUGCUCGGAAUCACUGGGCGUAAAGCGCACGUAGGCGGGUCGUUAAGUCGGGGGUGAAAUCCUGGAGCUCAACUCCAGAACUGCCUUUUAGACUGUCUCGCUUGAAUCCAGGAGAGGUGAGUGGAAUUCCGAGUGUAGAGGUGAAAUUCGUAGAUAUUCGGAAGAACACCAGUGGCGAAGGCGGCUCACUGGACUGGUAUUGACGCUGAGGUGCGAAAGCCAGGGGAGCAAACGGG
rnacentral:rRNA from 1 species